CAGUCGCCGCGGUAAUACGGAGGGCGCGAGCGUUACCCGGAUUUACUGGGCGUAAAGGGCGUGUAGGUGGCCUGGGGCGUCCCAUGUGAAAGGCCACGGCUCAACCGUGGAGGAGCGUGGGAUACGCUCAGGCUAGAGGGUGGGAGAGGGUGGUGGAAUUCCCGGAGUAGCGGUGAAAUGCGCAGAUACCGGGAGGAACGCCGAUGGCGAAGGCAGCCACCUGGUCCACUUCUGACGCUGAGGCGCGAAAGUGUGGGGAGCAAACAGGAUUAGAUACCCCCGUAGUCCCUGUCUCUUAUAC
rnacentral:rRNA from 1 species